rnacentral:misc_RNA from 1 species
AAGUCGUAACAAGGUUUCCGUAGGUGAACCUGCGGAAGGAUCAUUUAAUGAGUUUGAACAGGACUUGAUGCUGGUCUGCUCUGGCGGACAUGUGCUCAGUUCUACUCAAUCCAUUCAACACCUGUGCACUUUCAAAGUUUGAAGUCCUCCGUCAUGGGAGCUGCGGUCUUGUAAUGAGACUGCUGGGACUUUGCUUUGCCCAUUAUCACAAACCAAUUUGAAGUCUUGUAGAAUGUAACUAGCCUAAGGGCUUAAUCUAAUACAACUUUCAACAACGGAUCUCUUGGCUCUC